rnacentral:rRNA from 1 species
UACGUAGGGUGCAAGCGUUGUCCGGAAUUAUUGGGCGUAAAGAGCUCGUAGGCGGUCUGUCGCGUCGGAUGUGAAAAUCCAGGGCUUAACCCUGGGCCUGCAUUCGAUACGGGCAGACUAGAGUUCGGUAGGGGAGACUGGAAUUCCUGGUGUAGCGGUGAAAUGCGCAGAUAUCAGGAGGAACACCGGUGGCGAAGGCGGGUCUCUGGGCCGAUACUGACGCUGAGGAGCGAAAGCGUGGGGAGCGAACAGG